GGGUUUCAGGGGGAGGGUUUUGGGAUGAUUCAAGUGCAUUACAUUUAUUGUGCACUUUAUUUCUGUUAUUACUACAUUGUAAUAUAUAAUUACAUAAUUAUACAGCUCACCAUAAUGUGGAAUCAGUGGAAGCCCUGAGCUUGUUUUCCUGCAACUACAUGGUCCCAUCUGGAGGUCAUGGGAGACAGUGGCAGAUCAUUAGGCUAAAUUCUCAUAAUAGAUCCCUUUCAUGUGCAGGUCACAAUAGGGCUUGUGAACCUAUGAGAAUGUAAUGCUACUGCGGAUCUGAGGGGAGGUGGAGCUCAGGAGGCAAUGUGAACGAUGAGGAGUGGCUGUAAAUUCAGAGGAAGCUUCGCUUGCUUGUCGGACACCUCCUGCUAUUGCUGUCACUGUCCAAGGCAUAGUGCUAUGAACAAGGACAACAUGUGCCUUAAAUGAAUUCACAUUCUACUGGGGAACCAGAUAUUUUAGCAGGGUAAGAAACUUAGUAACUGAGGAAGGAGUGACUCUUUCGGUGAUGAAAAGAUUUGUGUGACCACUGCUAUAGUCAAGACACAGGACACUUCUACUACAUGUUUCCCUUGAGCUACCCUUUCAUAAAAGCAGACACCGCCCUUACUCUCCACCAUCCCCAACCCCAGCGACUAAUCAUCUGUUUUCCAUCUCUUAUCAUUUUGUCAUUUUGAGAAUGCUAUGUAAAUGUAAUCAUAUUACUUGAAACCAAGAGUUCAAAAUAAACUUGAACAACCAAGCAAGACCCUAUCUCAAAAAAGAAAAAAAAAAAUAGCCAGGUGUGGUGGUGAACACCCAGCUACUCACAGAGGCUGAGGCAGGAAAAUCACUUGAGCCAGGAGCUCAAGACUGUACUGGGCCACUGUUACACCACUGCAUUCCAGCUGGGGUGAAAGAGACCCUGUCUCUAAAAAAAUAAAAAUAAAAAUAAAAUAAAUGCAAUCAUACAGUAUGAUGUAACCCUUUGAGAUUGUCUUUUUUUUUCCCCACUCAGCAUAAUCCCCUUGAGAUUCUUCUAAGACAUUACAUAUAUCAACAGUUCAUUACUUUUUAUUGCUGAGUAGUAUUCCAUGGUAUGGAUGUGCUAGUUUGUUUAACCAUUCUUCUGCUGAAGGACAUUUGGAUUGUUUUCA